AUGUGAAAAAUGGAACUGGAAUAAUUAAGCUAUAUUAAUGAAUUUUACACAUAAACAAAAAGCACUAAGCUCUCUAGAGAAUGUUAUUUGUUCACUGAACAACUGGAAAAAUGAAUCUUUUAUGAGCUUGGCAAAGGGAUGUUUGAUUUCUGAGACACUUGGAAGGUUUAUACUUUAAUGUAUACUUAGAAAAAAUUACAUUUUUGUUGUCACAGUACUUUAAUUCAGUGCUCAGCUUUCUAUUUUGAGUGUAUCAGUCAGAUCUGGUUUCAUUUUAGGUUUCAGCAACUACUGUUGCUGUUCUGUUCUAUGGCAGAAUUGUCCUGUGUCUGUGUUAGAUUUCACUUCCUUGCCUUUUCCCUAGAAAUUCCCCAGGAAGAUUAUGGAGGUGCUUAAUUUUUUUUUUUUUUUUUCUAAUUUUUCUUUCUACCUUAUCUUCAUGUCUUAAUUCUGGACGAGCUCUCCAGCCAGGGUAAUCCAGCCCAGUCACACAAAGUUUCUCUUGCCAAAGAACCUUCUCUGAAAGUCACAGUCCUUUCUCCAGAGGUGAUGAGCACUCACCUGGCUCUUCACUGACUCCUAUCAUCCUUCUGCAGCCUCAUAGAGCAAAUUUCAAACUUUCAAACUUUUUCAAACUGCAGUUGGUAGCAUAUAAUUGAUUCUCUGCAUGCCAGGCAAAGUCACUGACCCUUCCACCUGUCCCCUCUUCUGCUGCUUUCCUGUGCAUUCUAAAUGCCUGGUUUAUUUAUCUACUAAAUUCCAAAUUCCCUUCGUUCAUCAUGAACUCAUUUGAUUUUCUCCAAAUACUAUUCCCAGUCUUCUCUGUCCUAAUCAGAGACUCUGAACUGAACCAUUCCUUCCCUGAUUAAUUUCUUUAUUUGCAUUCUAAUAUCCAAGUGUUGUUUUCCUCUUUUGUCUCCAUUCCUUUGUCUCACUUUUCAUUCCUCUCUGGUUACACCAGGUUUUACUCAGCAAUUAAAUCAGGCUCUGAGGUGCAACAAGGUGUUUGCCAAAGAUCCAGAGCUUUCAGGUGAAGUGAUCAAAAUUAAUCCCUCAGCAGCAGUGCACUCGUGUGCUCUCACCUGGAAAAUAUCUAACAGAGAAUGAGUCUCUAAGAAUCUGAUUGGUAAAAUGAAAGAAAUCUCCUCUGAGCUCCUGUUACCUGUGACUUUUCAAAUGGCUAUAACCUGGCCAAAUUUGGUGACUUUUCAGAGCAUGAAUAAAAAGCCAAUGUAAAGAGCUGCUCUUCUUUUGUGUCAGGACCACUGCUCCCAUAAGAAUGUUCUCUCUUCAUGGGGAAGAAGUCAAGAGAUGCUAAUGAGGCAACCCCACUUCGCGCCGUGACCCUGGCGCGGCGUGUGCCAACACCAGCACAGAGGGGAUGGACUGGCACAGGGUCUGGGUGCCAGCACGCAGCUGCCUUCCCCAAGAUCAAACCAUUAUUACCAAAACUACAAAAUCCCCAACCUGGAUCUUCCUGCUGAGUGAUGACUGAAGAGGACUGCAAGCACCAGCACAGCAAUGUCACUCCAGUAAUUGGGCAUUGUGAAAAGCUACUUCUGGUCUUUGAUCCUGUUCUGGGAAGCUCACACAUGGCCCAGGGACUGGUCCUAAUCCUGGAAUUACUGACAUCUGCAUAUCAUUGCAGUGGUAAAUUACAGCUGGGACAUGCUAACCCCAAAGUAGUUUCCUUUGUUUCUUUUGCAUUUUCAAGAAAAUAAAGAACCCAGAUACCAUCAAAGCUGUCAUAGGUCUCCAGGAAUAUUCUUUUUCAGUCUCAGAUGUGAUGAUAUCUAAACACUGGCUGGGAACCUCUGUUCUCAUC